rnacentral:tRNA from 1 species
GGGAAAGUGGCUCAGUUGGUAGAGUGCUUGCCUUGCAUGCAUGAGGCCCUAGGUUCGAUUCCUCAUCACCA